GUGCUCUCUUUGGCAGCAUAUUUACUAAAACUGGAAUGAUGCAGAGAAGAUUAGCAAGGCUAGUAGAAAAUUUUAAAAAAAUAUUUAUUUUUU
rnacentral:snRNA from 1 species